GGGAGACUGUCAUAGGAAUCAAAAUGGGAUAUAGGGUGUUUUGUACAAGUCCUGACUCCUUUUCUAAAAGCAAUAGGAAGAUCAAGAUUAUUAUCAGGUGAAUCAGGGUGAGAGUGAGAAUUGGAAGGGGACUCACAACAUACCUCUUUAGGAAUAGGAUGUUCAAGAGCCAAAUCCAGAGAUUUUGACUGAUAAAGCGUAUCAUGCUUAAUGACUGUAUCUGUAUUUUCACAAGUAUAAGUUCUUAAAUCCACCCUAUUUAGUCUCUCUUUGGGCUAAGGAGUAACUAGUGGGUCCUUAUCCUAAAUACUCAGAUUAGGUUCAAGUCUAAUAAUCUCCCCCUGAAAAGGUAUAGGUGUAGGGCGAGUAAACUCUUCCUUCUUAUUCUUCCCUUGAAGAGGAGACUGGAAAUAAGGUUCAGAUUCUCUAAAGGUGAUAUACAUGCUGACAAACUAUUUUCUUGAAGGAGGAUGAUAAUACUUAUACCCCUUUUGAGUUCCAGAACAACCUACAAACACAAAUUUCACAGCUCUAGGUUCUAAUUUUCCAAUAUGUGACUUAUGAACAAAACAAACACAACCAAAGACUUUUAGAGGAAUAGUAUAAGAAUUCUUACCCUGAAGAGCUUCUAAAGAACUCUUAGAGUUCAUGGGAGUCAUCAAAAUUCCAAAAUUAUAAGUUUUUCUAUGUUCUCUCUCUCUCUUCUUUCCCUCUAAUUCUUCCUUCUUUUUCUAGAUAUUUUUUCCUUCUUUCCCUCUAUAUUCCUUAUUUUCAUUUCUGCAGACCCUGUUCUUUCUUCUUCUUUUUCUUUCUUGAAAUUCUUGAAAUUUUCCCCUGUUCUUGAAGUUCUUCCUAUUUUCUUGAUUAUCCCUCAAAAUUUCCUUUCCCUGAGUUUCUAUUCUGCUUUCCAACAAUCAGAGUUCUAACUUUCUUUAUUUUCUUUGCUUUCUUGAAGUUCUUCACGUGAGGCCUUUGAUUCCAAAGGUUUGCAAGAUGUCUAAGAGUGUAGUGAUAAGUCAAGAAGCUGUUAGAAUGGAU
rnacentral:misc_RNA from 1 species